UACAGAGGGUGCAAGCGUUGUUCGGAAUUAUUGGGCGUAAAGGGCGCGUAGGCGGUGCGGUAAGUCUGCAGUGAAAUCUCUGGGCUCAACUCAGAGUCUGCUGUGGAAACUGCCGUGCUUGAGUGUGAAAAAGAUAAAUAAAAUUCCCAAUGUAGCGGUGAAAUGCGUAGAUAUCGAGAGGAACACCUGUGGCGAAAGCGGCUCACUGGACCACAACUGACGCUGAGGCGCGAAAGCUAGGGGAGCAAACAGG
rnacentral:rRNA from 1 species